UUAAGUAUUUGCCGCAUAGUGAACGCCGCUCUCUGGCUUGAAAGCGCUGUGUUUUAUGUUGACUCCACGUUGUGCUAUUUCAUUUUGAGAUUAUUGUCCAUCGAAUAUUGAAGUUGAUAAUUAAGUGUUUUGGCAUGGCUGGCCGAGUGGAUUGAAUUCUUACA